rnacentral:rRNA from 1 species
CCUACGGGUGGCUGCAGUGAGGAAUAUUGGUCAAUGGACGAGAGUCUGAACCAGCCAAGUAGCGUGAAGGAUGACUGCCCUAUGGGUUGUAAACUUCUUUUAUAUGGGAAUAAAACGUUCCACGUGUGGGAUUUUGUAUGUACCAUAUGAAUAAGGAUCGGCUAACUCCGUGCCAGCAGCCGCGGUAAUACGGAGGAUCCGAGCGUUAUGCGGAUUUAUUGGGUUUAAAGGGAGCGUAGGUGGAUUGUUAAGUCAGUUGUGAAAGUUUGCGGCUCAACCGUAAAAUUGCAGUUGAAACUGGCAGUCUUGAGUACAGUAGAGGUGGGCGCAAUUCGUGGUGUAGCGGUUAAAUGCUUAGAUAUCCCGAAGAACUCCGAUUGCGAAAGCAGUUCACUGGACUGCAACUGACACUGAGGCUCGAAAGUGUGGGUAUCAAACAGGAUUAGAUACCCGGGUAGUC